UCCAGACUCCUACGGGAGGCAGCAGUGAGGAAUAUUGGUCAAUGGACGAGAGUCUGAACCAGCCAAGUAGCGUGAAGGAUGACUGCCCUAUGGGUUGUAAACUUCUUUUAUAUGGGAAUAAAAUGUUCCACGUGUGGGAUUUUGUAUGUACCAUAUGAAUAAGGGUCGGCUAACUCCGUGCCAGCAGCCGCGGUAAUACGGAGGAUCCGAGCGUUAUCCGGAUUUAUUGGGUUUAAAGGGAGCGUAGGUGGAUUGUUAAGUCAGUUGUGAAAGUCUGCGGCUCAACCGUAAAAUUGCAGUUGAAACUGGCAGUCUUGAGUACAGUAGAGGUGGGCGGAAUUCGUGGUGUAGCGGUGAAAUGCUUAGAUAUCACGAAGAACUCCGAUUGCGAAGGCAGUUCACUGGACUGCAACUGACACUGAGGCUCGAAAGUGUGGGUAUCGAACAGGAUUAGAUACCCGAGUA
rnacentral:rRNA from 1 species